CCUACGGGAGGCUGCAGUGAGGAAUAUUGGUCAAUGGCCGAGAGGCUGAACCAGCCAAGUCGCGUGAGGGAAGACGGCCCUACGGGUUGUAAACCUCUUUUGUCGGGGAGCAAAGCGAACCACGUGUGGUUCAUUGAGAGUACCCGAAGAAAAAGCAUCGGCUAACUCCGUGCCAGCAGCCGCGGUAAUACGGAGGAUGCGAGCGUUAUCCGGAUUUAUUGGGUUUAAAGGGUGCGCAGGCGGAGGUGCAAGUCAGCGGUCAAAUUGCGGGGCUCAACCCCGUACUGCCGUUGAAACUGGUUGUCUUGAGUGAGCGAGAAGUAUGCGGAAGGCGUGGGGUAGCGGUGAAAUGCAUAGAUAUCACGCAGAACUCCGAUUGCGAAGGCAGCAUACCGGCGCUCAACUGACGCUCAUGCACGAAAGUGUGGGUAUCGAACAGGAUUAGAUACCCCAGUAGUC
rnacentral:rRNA from 1 species